AUACGUAACGGCCGCCAUUGUUCCGCGCCGAUGGCGCGAGCCUUGUUCCGCAGAUAGCGUUCGUCGCCCGUCGUGGUCAACUGGCCAGCCGAGUCUGGAGUGGUUGCGAACCCUUCUGGCUGCAGAUCUGGAGGUGGAGGCAGUACCUCGGACUCUAUCCUGCUGCCCCUUCAGGGUUUGGAGGAGCCGGAGCAUCCCUCGCGUCCUGUCACCUCCAGCGAGGCACACAAAACUGACCGUAGGGAUGGCCACCAGGGUCCGGACAGCUUCUAUUUGGGUCCCACCUCUCCAAGAACGAAACAGUUCAUGGGAUGGGAUCAGAAAGCUCCAAGGUCAGGAAUCCAUCUUGGGCCAAGGGACUCCUGGUCUGCAACCUCUCCCUGGAGCACCCAGGCAGAAGCAGAAGAGUCGCAGAACAGAGAAAGUCCUAGAGUGGCUAUUUGUUUCCCAAGAGCAGCCAAAAAUCACCAAGUCCUGGGUGAGCUUCUCAUUUGUUUAUUCCUAGUGUUUUCUUUAUUACCUUUUUUUUUUGGUGCGGAGAGGGAUGGAGAUCCUUA
rnacentral:sRNA from 1 species